ensembl:lncRNA novel transcript
GCUUAGAAGCAAGUCACGGGUCCUAACUCACACUCAAGAGGAGGGAGCCACACAAAGCAAUGACCAUCAGGGGAAGAGAUUAGGGGUGCCACCUUAGAGUUUGCCACACGGUCUUCCUAAGAAAACCAAGAUCUAGAAUUUCUAGUAGAAUUUUCUUUUGUUCGUCUAAGAAUCAAUUGAUUCUUAAUUCUAAGCUUGAAGUGUAACUGCAUUUUUAUGGGCAAAACAAUCCUGGACCUGGCCAGUAACCCAACCAAACCAGGGGCAGAGGAGAUGCUGGUCAGCCAGAGGAUACAGGGGAAGAACAGAAAAGGCAUAACAAGAGGGAAGAAGAGGUGACUGGAGAAAGAGAGACAUAUUCACGCCACAGAAAGAAAACAAUAAAAAGUCAUCUGAUUUCCUCAUACUGAGUAGCUCCCCAUGUGAUUCGGGUGUUGUGGGUACUCAUGUCCUGGUGACUGUACCUCCCAGCUCAAGCUGCCAAUCACGGUAUUUUCCCUAAAAUGUUCCCUUCCCAAAAUGGAAACCUCAUGUUCGUUGUCAAGAUAAUAAAAGUUGCACAUUAGCGGCACAUUUAUAAUCUUGCUAAA